UAGGGAAUCUUCCGCAAUGGGCGAAAGCCUGACGGAGCAACGCCGCGUGAGUGAUGAAGGUCUUCGGAUCGUAAAACUCUGUUAUUAGGGAAGAACAAAUGUGUAAGUAACUAUGCACGUCUUGACGGUACCUAAUCAGAAAGCCACGGCUAACUACGUGCCAGCAGCCGCGGUAAUACGUAGGUGGCAAGCGUUAUCCGGAAUUAUUGGGCGUAAAGCGCGCGUAGGCGGUUUUUUAAGUCUGAUGUGAAAGCCCACGGCUCAACCGUGGAGGGUCAUUGGAAACUGGAAAACUUGAGUGCAAAAGAGGAAAGUGGAAAUCCAUGUGUAGCGGUGAAAUGCGCAGAGAUAUGGAGGAACACCAGUGGCGAAGGCGACUUUCUGGUCUGUAACUGACGCUGAUGUGCGAAAGCGUGGGGAUCAAACAGG
rnacentral:rRNA from 1 species